rnacentral:lncRNA from 1 species
UGAUCCUAGGGCCACUUAACUACUGAGCCACAUCCUUAGCCCUUUCCAUUUUUUAAGUUUAGAGACAGGGUCUCUCUGAGUUGCUGUGGUUGGCUUUGAACUUGGUAUCCUCUGCUUCAGCCUCCCAAGCUGCUGGAAUUACAGAUGUAGCCACCUUACCUGGCUCCUUACCUUGUUCUAAUCCUACAUUCCUGACUAUUUCUUUUGUCUCCAUUUUCUCUUUUAUAUAUAACUGAGAAAGACUGAGUAAAGAAGAAAAGGAGCUGCCUCAGGGCAGAAGAUCAACCUCCAAACCUUGGCUCAAGCACUGAGUGGGCAUUAGCACAGUGACACUCACUUUACUUCCUCCCAGGGUUACUGGUGGACUCAAGGGGGGGAAAGAAUGUGAACUAUUUUGCACACUGUGCUGGAAGGAAAGACCUCCCCCUCUAUAUUCUGCUCUUUUCUUUCUAUAGAGACUCUUCCUCCUUUGGUAAUGUCACCUAUUUUCAUGGCCUUAAUUAUCAUCUCUUCGAUAAAAUUAUUUGAGGAGAUAAAAAGAUUAAAGCAGAGGCAACAUAGAAAUAUAGAGUACGGUUAUACCUGGUUUCAGUGUCAGUCUUCUUAGACUUUGGGAACAAGAUUGGUAGCUUUUUCCACAUGGAAAAAACUACCUUUCAUUGUUUGCUAUUUAUGUUCUCCUGGUCUCAUUUGUUUUCUCUCAUCAUCUGGGCAUUUUUCUUUAUACCCUUGACUUUUCACACUCUUUCUGACUUUGUCUUUUCCAUUUCUACCCUAAAGCAGCAGUUUUCAGACAUCAGCAUAUCAGAAUCCACGGAGGAACACAUGGUGCUUAGUGAGGGAAGCCGGUCCUAAAGGACUGCAUACUGUGUGCUUCCAUUUCUAGGAACCGUCAGGAAGAGCAAAUCCAUGGAGGGGAAAGCAGAUGAGUUGUUGCCUGGGGCUGGGAUGACAGCAUGGGGAACGAGGAGUGACUGAGAAUGGGAACAGAUUUCUUUUCGUUGUGAUGAAAAUAGAAUGUGGUGGUAUUUGCAUAACUCUGUGGGCACACUAAAACCACUAAACGGUGCACUUUGAAUAAGAGACAUAUCCAAUAAAGCAGUUAGGAAACAAAGAAGACUCCCAUGGAGGGCUUGUAAAAUACAGACUUCUGGGCCUUAUCCCCAGAGUUUCUGAUUCAGUAGUUCUGAUUCAAUAGGUAUCUGACUUGGAAUUUCUGAUUUAUUAGAAACUUGCAUUUCUAACAAAUUCCUAAGUGCUGCUGCUGCUAAUGGUCCAGGACACUGUGACAACCACUGCACCAGAGUAGUGCUGUCCAACAGAAAUAGAAUAUAAGCCACAUGUGUAAUUAAACAUUUUUAUUUUUUAAAUAUUUUUUAGUUGUAGUUGGACACAAUACCUUUAUUUUACUUAUUUAUUUUUAUGUGGUACUGAGGAUCGAACCCAGGGCCUUGCACAUGUUAGGCGAGCGCUCUACAGCUGAGCCACAACCCCAGCCCUAAUUAAACAUCUUUAGAAGCCACAUAAAUGAGUUAAUUUUCAUCACAUGCCUUAAUACCAUAUAUGCAAAAUAUUCUCAAUAGACAAUCAAUAUAGUAUACUCAUCAAUGAGGCGUUCUAUAUUCCUUUAUUUGUAUAAAGCCUUUGGCACCUGGCGUGCCCAACACUACAUGCACACCACAUCUCAAGUGUUUGAUGGCCCUAGGUGCCUACUGUAAUGGACAGCACAGCCCUGGAAUAUUCUCUUGUCUUCUUUUUGAAAUGGCCUAGGGUUAAGCCUCAUCUGUAUAAGGAUGACAACAGCAUUCCAUACCUCAUGGGAUCUUUGUAAAAAUGCUUAGAACACUUUCAUCCAGGUAAUAAGCAGUCAGUGUUAACUAUUAUUAUUUCUCUAAUAAUAAUCAUCAAGUGAAAGAAAAGAAUGUCAGGCUCAGUCAAUUUUGAACUUUUGAAAUGCUAGCCAUUUCAAGUUCUAACCUAAAUCAUUGAAAUGAAACAGUGGUAGAUUUUAACCUGUUUGUAUCAGAUAGAAUUCUUCUGGUGGGAAGAAAAGAAAAUUCAAUUUAAGCAGAUUUAAAUAAUGAGGAAAUUAAAGUCUCAUCUACCUGGGGUACAGAAGCAAAUACAGUUCAGUUUCAGUUAAUAUAAUCCAAACAACAUCAUCAAAGGGUCUCAGCCUCUUUCUGUCUCUUCACUCUGAACUCCAAUAUUGUUUUUAUCCUACAACUGGUAUCCCUCUUAGUUUGGGGAUGGCUGCUAGUAACAAUUUAGGGUUAAAUGCUUUUUGAUUUAUCUCUGGCAGAGAGUGCAACUCCUUCCUAACCACUGAAUAAAAGUCUCUUCCCUCCAGUAUAAUCGUGGGGUGGUGGUGUCUGGUGUGCUAGUGACAUUCUAUUUCUUGACCUGGGUUUGCUUUGUGAAAAUCCAAAAUGCUGCAUAAUAGUUAUUUGUACAUUUUAGGGCUGGGGCUGUAGCUCAGUUGGCAGAGUACUUGCCUAGCCUGUGUGAGGCAUGAGGUUUCAUCCUUAGCACCGCAAAAAAUAAACAAAUAAAAUAAAGGCAUUCUGUCCACCUACAACUACUAAAAAUUUUAAAAAAGCCAAACCUCUUGCAACAUUGAUGGGAAAAUAAAGGAAAUACUUCAUAUGUGUUAGACCUCAAACAAAAACAAAAGGCUUUUUUUUUUUUAUACCAAGGAGAUGAUCUUAAGGUGGAAAAAAUAAGUAAGAAAACGCUUUAGGUUCAUGUCAAAAUGAAAUAUAUUCUCUUAGCAAUAUAUAGUAUUGUUUGGAUUUAAAAUUCAUAAUAUAAGAAUCAUAUAUAGCUUGCUUUUUAAUUCAACAUUAUAUUGUAAGGUUAAUCCAUGUUGAUACAUAUUCCAUCUUGUGCAGUGUUUAUUCAUUUUUCUGUUACUAGAUGUUGAAGAGUUUUCCUAUCUUUCUUAUUAGAGGUUACACUACUAUGAAUGUUUUGUACACAUGUUCAUGGGACAGACUUUUCUAGGGUUAUAUCUAGGUAUUACACCUACAAGUAAAAUUUCUGGAUCUUGGCAUAUGCCAUAUUCAGCUCAUUAUGUAAUGCUAAAUUAUUUCCCAAAGUGAUUUUAUCUUUUAGAACUGGAUUUAGUUGCAAGUGAUACUAAGUUCAAAAUAACAGUGGCUUAAAAAAUAGCAACACAGUUGGGCAUGGGGCUACAUGCCUCUUAUCCCAGCUGAAGAGAAGCUGAGGCAGGAGGAUUGCAAGUUUGAGGUCAGCCUGGGCAACAUAGUGAGAUCCUGUCUCAAAAUAAAAUUUAAAAACAUGGCCCUAUGGGCAUAUAUGAUUACAUGACCUGUGAAACUCUAUAUCAUAUACCACCCAGAAGAAUGAGAAGUUACACUCCACUUGUGUAUGAUGUGUCAAAAUGCAUUCUACUGUCAUGUAUAACUAAUUAGAACAAAUAAAAAAAUUAAAAAUAAAACAUGGGCUGCAGCCGUAACUCAGAGGUGGAGUGCGUGCCUAACAUGUGCGAGGCUCUAGGUACAAUCCCCAGUACCAUGAAAGGGGGAGAAAAAAGAAUGAAAAAAAGAAUAAAGCAGCACACUUCUUUCUCAUAUCAUUCUGGAGGAAGCAGGCAGGGGCAGGGUAGCUUUGCAAACUCCUCAGGGACCCGGAAGACUUCACCCUUGCUGUGCCACCAUUCUCAGCAAGGCAUCUUUCAUCUCCCAUUGCAGUAUGGCUUCACCAUCAUGGACACAUUCUGGCCAGCAAGAAGGAAGAAGAAGAAAAGAAAGAUUUCCAAGUAUAUACCAUUGGCCCGAAUGGUAUUACAUUUAGCUGCAGGAGAAUCUUUAUUCUGGGUGACAACACAAAUCAUACCUAGUGAAUCCUAUUGGGAAGAAAGGGAGAACAGUUCUUGGAAAUAAUAAGCAGCCUCUGCAAGCGGUUACACUAUGCAGUGUACAUGUCUACCAACUGUGUUUAAAAGUUCAAGUUCCACAAACGUAUCAACAACAGAAAAGAUCAAGCUUUACAUCUUUGCCAUCAGAUUGGUAUGAACUGGUUUCUUUUUUUAUCACAUCUUUUUAGUUAUGUAUAACAGAAU